GUGAAGAACGCAGCGAAAUGCGAUAAGUAAUGUGAAUUGCAGAAUUCAGUGAAUCAUCGAAUCUUUGAACGCACCUUGCGCCCUUUGGCUAUUCCGAAGGGCAUGCCUGUUUGAGUAUCAUGAACACCUCAACUCUUCACGGCUUGCCGUGAUGAGUUUGGACUUUGGGGGUCUUGCUGGCCUACGAGCCAGCUCCUCUCAAAUGUAUUAGCUUGCCGGUGUUUGGUGGCAUCACAGGUGUGAUAACUAUCUACGCUUGUGGUUUUCCACUAGGUAACCUUCAGCAAUGGAGGUUCACCGGAGCUCACAAAUGUCUCUCCUUGCCAAGGACAGAUUUUGACCAUUUGAUCUCAAAUCAGGUAGGACUACCCGCUGAACUUAAGCAUAUCAAUAAGCGGAGGA
rnacentral:misc_RNA from 1 species